rnacentral:rRNA from 1 species
CACGAACGCUGGCGGCAGGCUUAACACAUGCAAGUCGAGCGCCCCGCAAGGGGAGCGGCAGACGGGUGAGUAACGCGUGGGAAUCUACCCAUCUCUACGGAAUAACGCAUGGAAACGUGUGCUAAUACCGUAUACGUCCUUCGGGAGAAAGAUUUAUCGGAGAUGGAUGAGCCCGCGUUAGAUUAGCUAGUUGGUGGGGUAAAGGCCUACCAAGGCGACGAUCCAUAGCUGGUCUGAGAGGAUGAUCAGCCACACUGGGACUGAGACACGGCCAAGACUCCUACGGGAGGGAGCAGUGGGGAAUAUUGGACAAUGGGCGCAAGACUGAUCCAGCCAUGCCGCGUGAGUGAUGAAGGCCCUAGGGUUGUAAAGCUCUUUCACCGGUGAAGAUAAUGACGGUAACCGGAGAAGAAGCCCCGGCUAACUUCGUGCCAGCCGCCGCGGUAAAAC